rnacentral:rRNA from 1 species
UACGAAGGGGGCUAGCGUUGCUCGGAAUCACUGGGCGUAAAGCGCACGUAGGCGGAUUUCUAAGUCAGGGGUGAAAUCCUGGAGCUCAACUCCAGAACUGCCUUUGAUACUGGGAAUCUCGAGUCCGGGAGAGGUGAGUGGAACUGCGAGUGUAGAGGUGAAAUUCGUAGAUAUUCGCAAGAACACCAGUGGCGAAGGCGGCUCACUGGCCCGGUACUGACGCUGAGGUGCGAAAGCGUGGGGGGCAAACAGG